rnacentral:rRNA from 1 species
AUUGAACGCUGGCGGCAGGCCUAACACACGCAAGUCGAGCGGGAACUUCGGUUCUAGCGGCGGACGGGUGAGUAAUGCGUAGGAAGCUACCCGACAGAGGGGGAUACCAGUUGGAAACGACUGUUAAUACCGCAUAAUGUCUACGGACCAAAGUGUGGGACCUUCGGGCCACAUGCUGUCGGAUGCGCCUACGUGGGAUUAGCUAGUUGGUGAGGUAAUGGCUCACCAAGGCGACGAUCCCCAGCUGGCUUGAGAGGAUGAUCAGCCACACUGGAACUGAGACACGGUCCAGACUCCUACGGGAGGCAGCAGUGGGGAAUAUUGGACAAUGGGCGAAAGCCUGAUCCAGCCAUGCUGCGUGUGUGAAGAAGGCCUUCGGGUUGUAAAGCACUUUCAGUAGGGAGGAAGAGUUGAGUGUUAAUAGUACUCAGCUUUGACGUUACCUACAGAAGAAGCACCGGCUAACUCUGUGCCAGCCGCCGCCGUAACAC